UAUCAAGUAAAGAUAAAAGGUGCCCUUUAAGGGAGAAUAGGGAAGUCCGGACGGGAUUAUCUGUGAAGGUGAUUCUGAAACGGCGCGGACCCACCACUGUAGACGGUGAGUUACCUCAGAUUUAACCACUGGGCAAAGCCCGGGAAGGUUGAGGCAAACGAUGACCCGUUAGCCAGGAGACCUGCCUUUUAUCUGCACUUGGG
rnacentral:ncRNA from 2 species